rnacentral:rRNA from 1 species
GAUGAACGCUGGCGGCGUGCCUAAUACAUGCAAGUCGAGCGAAGCGGGGACGGGUGAGUAACACGUGGCUAACCUCCUAUAAGACUGGGAUAACUUCGGGAACCCUGAGCUAAACCGGUCGCUUAUAGAUGGAUCCGCGCUGCUUUAGCUAGUUGGUAAGGUAACGGCUUACCAAGGCAACGAUGCAUAGCCGACCUGAGAGGAUGAUCAGUCACACUGGAACUGAGACACGGUCCAGACUCCUACGGGAGGCAGCAGUAGGGAAUAUUCGGCAAUGGGCGAAAGCCUGACGGAGCAACGCCGCGUGAGUGAUGAAGGUCUUCGGAUCGUAAAACUCUGUUAGUAGGGAAGCGGUACCUAAUCAGAAAGCAACGGCUAACUACGUGCCAGCAGCCGCGGUAAUUC